rnacentral:rRNA from 1 species
AGAUUGUAAGGAAUCGUACCCCAAACCGACACAGGUGGUCGGGUAGAGAAUACCAAGGCGCUUGAGAGAACUCGGGUGAAGGAACUAGGCAAAAUGGUACCGUAACUUCGGGAGAAGGUACGCUCUCGACGGUGAAGUCCCUCGCGGAUGGAGCUAUUGAGAGUCGCAGAUACCAGGUGGCUGCAACUGUUUAUUAAAAACACAGCACUGUGCAAAAUCGUAAGAUGACGUAUACGGUGUGACGCCUGCCCGGUGCC